UUAUGCAGCAUAGCUGCAUAAUAGCACCAGAUCACCUUGGCUCUUGGCAAGCUAAGCAUGACCAGCCUUGGUUCAUGGUUGGUUGGGAGACCAUCAAUGAAGGCCAGAUGCUGUAGGGU
rnacentral:rRNA from 11 species